UUUAUAGGUACAUUCACAACUUUCCCUGCAACCUCUCUCUCUGGGGUCUCCAAAAAUGCGCAGGAUUUAUGAACUCUAGAAGAAGUUAGGGCCAUAGCAUUGCGUCUUUACAUAGUAUUGCUUCUGGCGAGGGCAGAUGAGGGACUAGGGGAGCUAUGUGCACUGCUACAGGUGCUGUCCAAGGAAAAUCUGUGGUCUGCUGUGCUGAGAGUAGCGUAUACACAGUGUGCGUUGAAGAAGUCCAGCUAUCGUCAGCUUCUUUUCACAUGGGAAGAAAAAUGACAAGGAGGUGAUACCUUCCUAGCAGCAGAAGCACAGGCUCUCCAGCUGGGCAUAAUCCUUCCAUUACAAUUUCAGCAGGAACUAAUCCUGCUCCAACACAAAAAUUACCUGAAGGAUAUUCUACAAGGAAGAUCUCACAGAGCACCAUGGACUUCACUUAUCUUCAGGUCAGAUCUAGAGCUUUCCAUUUGUUGAAGAGCUUUGCAGUGUAGAAGUCCUAAAUUCAUAAAGCCUAGUUGGUAUGGUGUGGAUCCCUCAUAUGUGUAAAUUGUUACAGCAUCAUGGAUGGAUUUGAUGUAUUUCUUUGUUUCUUUUCUUCCUUUUCUUUAUUUAGUCAAAAUAUUUAACUGAGUUUUAUGGUAUAAAUAUAAAACCCAAAUUAAAGCAAUUACGUUGUGGAAAAAAAAAGGA